CCCCAACGUAUGAUGCCUUAACCUCUUUUAUAACCCUGCCUCUCUCCUCGCCUCUCCUCUUUCAAGCUUCAUAGCUUCACUUCUCCAUGAACCCUCAGAUGCUUCUCAUGGCUCUUCUUCUUUUCUUCAUUUUAUUUGCAGUUCCAAGCUGUGCUAUUGUGACCAACAACCUUGACCAAGCGUUAGUGCCCCAAGAACCAGAUACUGGAAUAAAGUGUGAAUCAUGCCCUUGUGUUAACCCAUGUGCCCUUCUGCCUCCUCCUCCUCCUCCACCACCAAAGUCCUCAUACUGUCCUCCUCUGCCUCCUCCACCGCCAAGGUUCAUUUAUGUGACCGGUGUGCCUGGGAAUUUUUAUGUAACUGAUUCUUAUGAUAAUUGGAAUUUUUACAGCGCUGCUACACAGAAUGCUGUUGCAAAGUUGCUGCUUUUGGCUGGGUUUGGAGCUCUACUCUUUGUCAUAAUCUGAUGAUCAUAAUAAUUUGUGGUUAAGUCUCUCUCUCUUAAUUAGGUCUAGUUCUUGGUUUAAUUAGACCAUAAUAUUGUUUUAAUAUCAAAAGAAUCUUCUUCCAUUUAAAUGUUUAUCAUAUUUAUCCAGUAUAUCAAGCAGGUAAACUUAUAAUAUUUCAUUUUUUUUAAUUUCUUCAAUACUAAUUUCGCCCACCACUUAAUUUUUACCAAAACUAAAAAGAAAAUUCUUAUUAUUUAUUACUUAUAUUUUAUUUGAUUCAAAUCGGUAAUGGAGGUAAACUUUUCAAUAACUUACUAGAUGAUGGAAAGUAAGGAAAUAGAUGCUUUCAACUUUUCACAAGUUUUGUCACAUGCACUUUUAGUUCAGUGCACUCAUGCGCACUUGAUCAGGUUCUUACGAAAUUAUAGCCUCUCAAGUUUAGUUGAUUGAGAAGUUUGACUGGUUUUGCCUUGUUUUGGUUUCAUCAACAGCUCCCAACUAGUGUAUGUAAGAAUAAUAAUCCCACACAUAAGGGUCCUGUAAAGCACUCUCUGUCUAAUCUUUACGAUAACAUUUUUAUCACUACGGUGUUAGACAUUCCGAAUUUUAUCAGUACGGUGUUCUACAUUCCGAACUCAAUAAAUGGAAUAAGUCAAGCAAAAAUAUCAAUCAAAU
rnacentral:lncRNA from 1 species